CAUUUCAACUGCAGCCAAUUGCGUAGGGUGAAUGGUGAAGUGAAGUGGAGUACGCUCUUGUGGAAUGACGUCAAGAAGUCGUAAUCGUCCGCGUCGAUAUCACCGUGCGGAACAAAGUUUCGCGCCGCGAUAAGUUGCCCGAAGUCGCUGGCGAUAGGAGGCUCUAUUAAGGACACACGAGAUUAAUUGUCCGCCACCUGAUCGUAUCGGCCGAUACCUCACGACGACACGUACAUCGAAGCUCUUUCCUCUUCCGAUGCACCACCAUGUCAGGGUUGAACAACGAUUGCGCAAGCUAGAGUCCGGUGUUUCCAAAGUUCUGAACUGAACACUCGUCUGCUAUCCCACGAAGUCGAAGCUGAAGUUUCACGUUUCCGUCGUCCUCGUCUUCCCGGAACAGGGAGGAAAGGUGAGAGGUACGUCAGAGAAGGGCUGAAGGCACCUACGAAGAAUGGACUAGUGUGAGUUCCUGGAUAGGGCGAGUUUCCAGGGAGAAACCGGGAGGAAUGCGUUGAAAGAUAGGAGGACAGCCAGGAUGGCGGCGGUAUUCACUACAAAAUCACUACAUCCACCUUCCUUCAUUGCGAAUAUCCCACGAAACUUUCAGCGUAGUUGAAAUUGUGCUGAAGCACUGCUCAUUACAUUUUCAUUCAUGUGGCAGUUAUUAAAUCCACCACUUCUACCUUUUUUAGAUUGCUUCUUGUUUCUUUGAGACAUGUGAUCGCGUUACAAACCAGAAAAUUAUGAUACCUAAGAAUUUUGUGCAGCUAUUCACGAUAUAAUAUCGUAAACUAGCACUUGCAAUGCGUGUACAUAAAAAAUGAUGCAUAAAAAAUGCAUGGAUAUAAAAAAUGAUAAAAAAUUGUGAAUAUAGCAAACGUUGUACCCUGUAAUGAAUCAAAUUUUAAAGGAUUAAAUAUACCUUUCUCGUGGCUUUUUGUAUUAACGAAGUUUGACGUGACAUUAAAAGACAUGCAUGAAUUUCUACAUAAUCUUUGAGCGUGGUAGCAUUGCUUCCAAUAUUACGUCAAUAUUACGUUUAUUUCUAAAUUCCCUCCAAAGCUGUCGUCUUUGAAGUCUUUUACUCGCCUUGGUGAAAUUAUUACGUCUGUCACGCGAGUAGAUGGUCUUAAAGAAUCUGUAUUAUAUAAAAAAGUACAUUAGCGGGAGAGCGAAAGCCAUAUAUCGUCGACGUGAUGUUUAUAGGCACGUCGGGACGUGAUCUGAAAAAUAAGUUUUGCAUUCGUCAUUUUGAGAUAAAUGUAAAACGCAGUGGCACAAGGGUCUCGUAAAUUCUCUUCUAUUCACCUACAUUUAUUUCGUAUUUCUUUUCACGGGACUUCUACAAUUUUAUUAUUCUACUUUAGAGAGCGAGAGAGAAAGAGAAAAUAUAUAUCGAGUUAAUGCGACGACUAAAACGAUACAUAUCGGGAAAAUUACGUUCGAGAAAAUCGUUUCUUCGAUUUCAAAUUUUAUUCCGAGGUUAUGUAAAGAUCCAUACACGUCUUUUUACGCCACGUUAAAAUUCGUUAACACAAAAAGACAUGAGAAAUGCAUGUCUAAUCCUAUAAAAUUUGAUUCAUUACAAAAUAAUGUUUGAUAUAUUCACAAUUUUUAUGUCUAUGCAUGUAUAUAUAUUGCAAGUGCUAUUUUAUCAUAACAUAUCAUUUGCACUUCUGUUUUGUACAGUUUAAAAUACUUUCAACUCAUUAUUAUAAAUGGCAGAUUUUAAACAUGUAUGAUCUGUUAGAUUAAAUAUAAAAUACAAAAUAAAACAGAAUGAUAUUUAUUCGACGAUCAAAAAGUCGCCACAAUUUUUAGCUGCGUGGCAAAUUAUGCGGCACUUGGAAAGUUAAUCGUAGAAGAUUUACGAGCAAAAGCACCGAAUGCAGCUUGAGAAGCUAUUCAACACAGGCGCUCUUGCACAUCUCGUAGGUGUUUGGUUUACUCGAUAAUGCGAGAGAUCUGAAAAUGCGAUGAGAAUGGGUAAUAUUUCUUAGAUAGGAGGGUGGGCAAGGUAUAUCGUUCGGUAUCGCGCGGCACCGCGCUGAAAUUUUACGAUGUCGAUAGGUGCGUACGCGUUUCCGAUAUGCUUAUCUGACGUGCACGUCAGAACCGACAGGCACAAUUGCGUUGGAAGGGCCACGGGCUCCCUUAUGAAAGAUUGGUAUUGUAAUUGAAUUGCUGCGAUCCCCGUGGCCAUGUUGGCUGGACGCACGCGAAGAAUGUCUACGAUUUAUGAGAUUCCGCAGGAUACCUUCGGGCUAAAAGCGUGCUCGGAGUAUGAAGCGCGAUUCCACGCUGUAUGGAAUUUUUGCAAUAAAACGAGCUGAACGGCGGCGAUAG
rnacentral:lncRNA from 1 species